ACGAAUAUGUUGAAAUUGGUAAACAAUCUUCUCUUAAGAAGAAGUGGGUGUAAACCCUUAAGAGUUCAAGUCUCUUUGUUCGUA
rnacentral:tRNA from 1 species